CUACGGGACGCACCAGUGGGAAAUAUUGCACAAUGGAGGAAACUCUGAUGCAGCAACGCCGCGUGGAGGAUGACACUUUUCGGAGCGUAAACUCCUUUUAUAUAGGAAGAAGAUGACGGUACUAUAUGAAUAAGCGCCGGCUAACUCCGUGCCAGCAGCCGCGGUAAUACGGAGGGCGCAAGCGUUACUCGGAAUCACUGGGCGUAAAGAGCGUGUAGGCGGAUUAAAAAGUCAGAAGUGAAAUCCUAUAGCUUAACUAUAGAACUGCUUCUGAAACUCUUAAUCUAGAAUAUGGGAGAGGUAGAUGGAAUUUCUGGUGUAGGGGUAAGAUCCGUAGAGAUCAGAAGGAAUACCGAUUGCGAAGGCGAUCUACUAGAACAUUAUUGACGCUGAGACGCGAAAGCGUGGGGAGCAAACAGGAUUAGAUACCCGAGUAGUC
rnacentral:rRNA from 1 species